CGCGGCCUAUCAGCUUGUUGGUGAGGUAACGGCUCACCAAGGCAUCGACGGGUAGCUGGUCUGAGAGGACGAUCAGCCACACUGGGACUGAGACACGGCCCAGACUCCUGCGGGAGGCAGCAGUGGGGAAUCUUGCGCAAUGGGCGAAAGCCUGACGCAGCAACGCCGCGUGGGGGAUGAAGGCUCUCGGGUUGUAAACCCCUUUCAGCAGGGACGAAAUUGACGGUACCAGCAGAAGAAGCCCCGGCCAACUACGUGCCAGCAGCCGCGGUGACACGUAGGGGGCGAGCGUUGUCCGGAAUUAUUGGGCGUAAAGAGCUCGUAGGCGGUUUAGUAAGUCAGAUGUGAAAGGUUGGGGCUCAACCCUAAGACUGCAUCCGAUACUGCUAUGACUAGAGUCCGGUAGGGGAGCAUGGAAUUCCUGGUGUAGCGGUGAAAUGCGCAGAUAUCAGGAGGAACACCAGUGGCGAAGGCGGUGCUCUGGGCCGGUACUGACGCUGAGGAGCGAAAGCGUGGGUAGCGAACAGGAUUAGAUACCCUGGUAGUCCACGCCGUAAACGUUGGGCACUAGGUGUGGGGCCUACUUAACGGGUUCCGUGCCGUAGCUAACGCAUUAAGUGCCCCGCCUGGGGAGUACGG
rnacentral:rRNA from 1 species